rnacentral:tRNA from 1 species
GAGGGUACAGCUCAGUGGUAGAGUGCAUGCUUAGCAUGCACAAGGUCCUGAGUUCAAUCCCUAGUACCGUCA